CUGCCACUGGAGUUCCAGGUCCAGGUCCAGUGGCUGAUUUUCAGGGAGCAUGACAGAGGACACCAAGGGCUCAGUGUCAGAAGAUUGGCAUUCCAAUUCACCACUUCUGUCAACAUCAAUUCUCUGAAGGACAGGAGAAGAGUGAAAAUAGUGCGUCGUUGCUCAACAGCGGGUUCGCUGAGUGACUUCACAAAAUGGGAGGAUUCUGGUGUGUGUGUGUGUGGUUCCUUGUAUGAGUGAGAGUUCCUGUUUUUAGAGAAGAUCACUGCUGGAGAGUCCUGUCAGCUCUGGAUCUGGCACACCUGGAUCACCUCAUCAGGCUGGCUGGGGUUUAAAAGGAGCUGCAAGAUCAUCACUCCUCACCGGAUGAUUAUCUAUGAGGGUAUCCCCAGCCGGUUCUUGAUUGUAAGUCUUUUUUUUUUCUUGUGUGAAUCUAAUUUUUGGCCCCUGUUUUCAGGACUGUUUAUUCCUAUGUUUCAGACUCUUGACAAUCAUUUGCUGCCCUCAGUUUGGUUAAAAGAAGACUUGCGUGCUGCCGUGCAGCUUUGGAGGCCCUCAGUCUCCUUACCUAACUGCCCGCUCUCCAGCGAGUUGUCCUCCAAGAAAAACAACCUAACUGGAACUCACUCCUGGACCCUGGACCAUUUCCAGUCACACUGAAUCCCAUGCCUUCCUAGCCCUUACCAGCUACAGCAAAAGAGCGGACCCAGCCUAACAACCUGCGUGCUGUAAAGAACUGCUCCAGGUCCACACUCUUGGGACCUAGGCUGUGCUGGUUGCGGAACCGUGUCUGUGUCAGUGCAGAGUUUUGACUCAAAACC